rnacentral:lncRNA from 1 species
UAUUUAUAACACGUAUUUAUUUUUGGAUUGUCCCAACAUAAAUGGCACGUUUCCUAUUUGGGAAAAAAUAAGGGAUCAAUUAACAAAUUAAUUAACCCCUAAUUACACCAUCAAAUCCGGACUUCACAACUACUUUAAAAUCAUUCUUCACAUCCGUCAUCCUCUCUCUCUCCAAUCGUUUCUCUCUCUACACCUCAACCUCCACCCCACGACGCCUCAUCCACCCCCGCCGCAGCCUCCACCCACGCCGCCGCUCCAUAGCCUCCACCUAACGCUGCUCCACCGCCUCCAUUUCUUUUACCCUGCUCCGCCUUCCUCCACCCGCUUCCGCCUGUCAAACCCUAGUUUCGUGGCGCCUCCUCUAUUUCUCCUCUCUGACUAUCGGCGCUAGCACUCACCGCGCCCUUUCUGAAAUCCGACGAAUAGCAACAGAUGCGGCUUAAGCGAGAAGACGAUGCAGAGGAAAGAAACCCUAGCGCCGCUUCCCCCGCAACCAUUUUUGAAAUCCGGCGAAUAGCAGCGACGAAGCAGUGGCGUCGGCGGCUUGAGCAAGAAGACGAUGCAGAUCUUGGCUUCAAUAACUGGGUCGCCGCCUCCAUCAACUUCACAGACUCAGAUUGUGAUUUGGUGAUUUGGGGAUCUAGGAGUGAAUUUUGGUUUGUUGCCGGAGAUGAAAGUUGGUUGGAUUUGUUGCCUUAUUUGGAUUUCGGCGAAGUGUUCCAGAUCCGUUCCUGAGAUUUCUCCAAUUUCUCUAAUUUCAUUCUCAAUGUAUAUUUUUAGCAUUUUAGUUUUGAAAUUUUUGAUUGAUUUAUUCGAGUUCGAUUUGUUUUGGUAAAUUUUGAUUGUUUUGAGUUAUACUCCCUCCGUCCAUGAAAGAACUUCCUAGGAGGGAGUGACACAGGUUUUAAGAAAAAAUAUUGUUUAGGGUGCAUUUGAAAACUUGGUUAAGUUAAUGACAUUUUUCCAAACUCAAGAAAAGGUUGCUGGAUUUGGCCAGCAAAGCUAAAUAGGCUCAGUGUUUGAUAACACCAUGUUAUAAGCGCGAAAAAGUACUGAGGUUGUUUGAUAUCACAUGCUGUUUUCAUGAAAUAAUAGCAAAAGGUCCAAAAUAGGGGUGAGCAAAAUAUCUGAAAUCCGAAUAUCCGAUCCGAACCAAACCGAAAUUUAAAAUUUGGUUCGGAUUUUUCGGAUUUUCGGAUCGGAUCGGAUUGAAUUUUAAGCAAAUUUAGGAUUUUCGGAUCGGAUCGGAUUGGCACCUUAAAAAUCCGAAAAAAUCCGAAAUCCGAAUUAUAUUUAUAAUAUAAUUAAUAUUAUAAUAUUAUAAAUAAAUAUAUAUAAUUAUUAAUUUUUAAAUAGUUAAAUAUUUCUAAAUUCUAACCCUAUACUCCCAUUUUGGUUGAUUAUAAUUAAUGGUUUGUUAACUAUGACCUUAAUUUGAUUGUAAUUAUCUAAUAUGUUAGGUUGACAUCUAUUUCGGAUUUUUUCGGUUUUCGGAUUUUUUUUGACAUUUCGAAUUUUUUUUAACAUUUCGGGUUUUUCGGUUCGGAUCGGAUUUUAUCCGAAAUUUUUCGAAUUUUCAGAUUCGAAUUUUCGGAUAAUACGGUUCGGAUCGGAUUGAAUUUUAGGAAAAUUUCGGAUUUUCGGAUUGGAUCGGAUCAGGCAAAAAUUCGAUCCGAAAUCCGAAUGCUCACCCCUAGUCCAAAAUAUCCUUAAAAACAUUACUUAAUUAAUCCUAUUUUAUUAACCUUUAUAAUUAAAAAGAAAAAGAAAAAGAAAAAAACCCUUUCACCACCCACCCACCAGUCACCACCAUCACCGCCUAAGAGAGUGAAAAUAUUAAAAAAUCUCUCGUCCACCAAGCAACCCACUAUUAUGUAUUUAUCUUUUUCUUCUUCUUUUCUCCUUGAUUAAUCCUCCGCUCCAAAAUUUGUUUGCAUUAACAAUAAUAACUGUCACAAAGAACUCUCCCUCAAGAGAGUGGAAAUUUGCAUAAAUUGAUACCUCUCAAGAAAGUUGCAGCAAUUUGUGAGAUUUCGCGAUGGUGAAGAAAAAAGUUGUUGUUGUCCGACUAUAACAAAUGGAGGGAGACCGGUGAUGGCGGCUUUCGCUGCUGCUCGUCGGAGAGAGAGGGAAGUCGAGGAAGUACUGAGGCUGACCGGUGGUUGCUCUCGCCGAGAAGGGGGCGGCGCCGCUUGUGCGUACGAGUGUUCUGAUUUGGUGUGUGUGUGUGUGAUUCUCCAAAGAGGAAGAAGAAGAGAGAAAUGGAUGAAUUGGGGGCAAUUUUGUAGAAAAAAAAAUUAAACUUGAAACUCCAUAUUAGCUAACCAGGGGGAGCAUCGGUUGUGUUUCCUUGAGAAAAUGAGGAUUUAGCGCCGGGCCUGCCCCUUUACAUGGGCUUGCUUGUUUAAUUUACUUGGAAAUCAAACAAUAUUUUUAGCCUAGUAAAGGAAGUAAUACAGUCAUAACAAGGAAAUCAAACUGUUCCUUAGUGUAUUAAGGGUGGAUAAAAGGUAGUUGAGUGUAUUGAGAGUGGUGAAAAGGUGUUAUAAUUAAUAUUGAGAGUUGUGGAAAAUAAAAAGUAAUAGGAUUAUAAGUGGUGGGUAUAGUACAAAAAUAGGUAGGAAGUUCUUUUGUGGACGUCCCAAAAAGGAAAGAUAGGAAGUUCUUUCGUGGACGGAGGGAGUAUUUGUUAAAUUUUCGAUUGAUUUGAGUUCGAUUGAUUUUCGUUAAAUUAUUUGAAUUAUCCAAUUG